AUGGUGGUUAGUGGCCCGGAGAGUGAUUUUAAGUCAAGGCAAGCCCACGGAAGUCAGCUCCAAUCCAGUCUUCUAAGCAGGGGUGUGGGAACUGAGGCCUGCUCAAGGUGCUAUCAGUUUUUUUUCUCUGACCAUGAAAAAGGGGAUUUGAAAAUAAAGCUUCCAUGGCAUGUAGAAACAGAGCAUGUGGUUGGAUCAACAAUAGAACAACCUACGGUAUAUGCUUCAUUUUGUUUGGAUUCAGAAAAUCUGUAUGCUGUCUGUAAUUCAGAAAUUGAUUGCUUCAUUCACUCAUGCGCUACUGCUAUUUCAUAUACAGGGGAUCAGGGAGGAGAGCAGCAGCCUGCUGCUUCUUGGUUACUGCUCCCUCUGUUGAUCAGGGAGUACUACACAUCUAUACAGAGAACACAAAGAACAGAAGGCUGA
rnacentral:rRNA from 1 species